UUGUCAGAUUUGUUACCGCUGAGCCACGACAGGAACUCCCUAGACCAUGUCUUCUCAAAUGACUCCCAGCCAAAGGAUGCAGGGGAGGUGGACUCUUGAGUUCUGCAUCUAUAAGGAUGUCUAUUCUUCCUUCAUAAUUUAAUGACAUUUUUUCUGGGAUAGAAUUCAAGUCAAAGACCAUUUUUCUUCAGUUUUAAAACAGUAUUGUACCGUUUUCUUUCAGUGCCCAUUGUCGCUGUGCCAGUCCGUUCCUUCCUCCUUUGUAGACGACCUUUCUCUCUGAAGCUUCUAGAAUCUUUAUCUUUGAUGUGUUCUAAAAUUUCAUAGAGAUGUGUCUAGGAGGAGAGUUUUUAAAUUCUCACCUUUCAGUAUGGAAACUCUUGUCCUUUAUGCUGGGAAAUUAAUCUGCGGUAUUUCUUUCUCUCCUAGUUCUCUGUUCUCUCUGUCUGGAACCCCACCCAGUCAGCUGUUGGAUUUUCUGCACUGAUCCUCCAUGGUGCUGAUAUGUUUCCUCUGAGUUUUAGAAAAUCCAUGCCAAAUGAAGGAGACACGAGUGUCGUGGAUCGUGGCACAUGUAUAGUUGGAUGCCUCAGUGUAACUUCCAGUUUGCCUUCUCCCGGUACAGCCUGGACAGCUAAAGCAUACAUUUCCCAGAACCCAUGGCGGCUAGAGGUCAGGCACGUGGUCUACGUUCUUCUAACCGGACGUGCUAGUACCAGCGGAGGCGGAAGUGAUCAGUGUGAGAUCACGCCCAUGACAGGGGGAUGGAAUUUUCUGACGAGGAAAGCGGUAAAGGUGACCAGGGAUUCGGAGGCGGCUGUAGCCAUGCUUACAACCUCAGGUCUCCACUGGCUGAUCAAUGUCAAGGAACAGCAGCGGUGGUUGCCCUGUCUCCCUGAGGCGGUUGGCGUGGUUGGACUCUUUCUUGGUCUAGGCUUCUGGUUUGUAAUCUCUUAAGAAAAAUCUUGAAAGCCACGAGAAAGAGUCGAGUUUCCCCGAAGAGCAGUCGGAGAUUCCAGAGGAAGUGGGAUCUACUGCAGAGCUUCAGAAGGGACCUCCUGUAUUUUAGGAGGCGGGCACACUGAGUACCAGCAGGUUUAUUGUCGAAAAAGUAGAAGGCAGUUAACUGUGAAAAAUGACAGAAGAUACAGAGAAAGAGAAGACGGAGAGGAAGAAAUGAAACAGGAAGAAAGGGAGGAAGGAAAGAAGAAAAGGUGACUGCAGUGAACGUUGGAUGCAUAUUUUUUAGGGUUUUGUUUUUUAGUGGAUCCAUAUAUUAUUAAUUUUCUUCCAAGGAUGGAAUUCUGUUCUUAAUAGGAUGUGAGAAUAUCGGUCACCUCACUUAGCUAACAGUUUAAGUUGUAAGCUUGCAUGUUCUUGGGGGAGCGGGGAUGGAAACAUAAUCUCAGUUCGGAGUCUUCUCACCUGCUUCAGUGCUGGGUGGCCAGCCCACACAGGGUGAUGCUGAGCCCUUUCUUGUUCUGACUGCUGAUCCUCCAGAACCCCACCCUUUUAGCUAUGUUCGUGCCCCUCUGAUGCCGGGAAAAUGUUAUUGGAAUCCGUGUCCUUGUUCAUGCAGCCGAAGAAUGAGCUCUGCGAACUCACAGGCAGCAAGCAAGCAAAGUCUUUAUUACAGGAAAGCAAAUAGCUC